UACGUAGGAUGCAAGCGUUGUCCGGCUUUAUUGGGUUUAAAGGGUGCGUAGGCGGCCUAUUAAGUUAGUGGUGAAAACGUUCGGCUUAACCGGAUACCCGCCAUUGAUACUGAUAGACUUGAGUGCGACAGAGGGUGUUGGAAUGUGUGGUGUAGCGGUGAAAUGCUUAGAUAUCACGCAGAACACCAAUUGCGAAGGCAGAUGCCUAUGUCGUAACUGACGCUGAGGCACGAAAGCUAGGGGAGCAAACGGG
rnacentral:rRNA from 1 species